GUAUUGCAUGUCCACGGGCUCAAUGAAUGCCAUUAUCUGUCGACCUUAUCAGCACUUGAGCGGAAAACCACUAUAACUUAUAAAAAAAAUAACACGCCUUCACCACCAACGCACUUAAAUAGUGCAAGCACGGAUACGCUCUACACAUUCAUUCCAAUGAGUUUUACCGGUAAAGUAGUGAUUGUAACAGGUGCCAGUUCGGGCCUUGGUGCCGGCACCGCCGAGACAUUCGCGAAACGCGGUGCUAAAGUCGCGCUCGUCGGACGCAAUAUCGUGAAUUUGAAAUCUACUGAAGCAGCCUGCAAGGCAGCCAAUCCCAAAGCCGAGUUGCUGCUCAUAGCUGCCGAUGUCACCGUGGAUGCGGAGCGCAUCAUCAACACAACACUAGAGAAGUUCGGCAAAUUGGAUGUGUUAGUCAAUAACGCGGGUAUUUUGGCUUACGGCAGCAUCUUAGACAUAGGUGUAGAGCAAUUCGACUCAUUACUCAACACGAAUUUGCGCUCCAUCUUCCUGCUCACCAAACUGGCAGCGCCGCAUCUCAUCAAGACGCAAGGCAAUAUUGUGAAUGUCUCUAGUGUCGCUGGUUUGCGUACCUUCCCCAAUACAUCAAGCUAUUGUACCUCUAAGGCGGCGGUUGAUCAGUUCACCAGAUGCAUCGCCUUGGAUUUGGCAGCGAAGAAUGUGCGUGUGAAUGCCGUAAAUCCCGGUGUUGUGGUGACAGACAUUCAUGCACGCAGCGGCAUGACGGAAGCAGACUAUGCAGACUACAUGCGACGUGCUAAGGAGACGCAUGCGCUCGGACGUGUGGGCACGACUAAAGAGGUGGCUGACACCAUUGCUUUUUUGGCCAGUGAAGAGGCUUCGUUCAUCACCGGCGCCACUGUGCCCAUCGAUGGUGGCAAGCAGGCGAUGUGUCCACGUUAAGUGUAGUAGUGUAAUUGGAAUACACGAAUUUGCCUUGACGGAAUUUUGCUGCAUGUUUCUAUGGUUCUUGGUAGCCAGCUCACCAGUGCAGAAACCAUGAAUACUAUAUUCGCUUGGGCUCAAAUCUGGAUUAUUAUUUUCUAUUAUACAACUCUAAGACGAGCCAUUACCUCGUUGGUCGCUGAUUUCGUAACAAAAAUAAACUGAAAAUAUCUUUAAAAGAGUUCAAGCAAAGUGCGGUGCCGGUUCAAUUUCAUAAGAAUUUCAACUAAAAAGUCGAAACUUCGGUCUAAAAGACCUUAAUCGAAAAGUAUGUGAUAAUAAUUUAGUCGUCAAUAAAUAAAUAUAUGGAAAGUUAUAGGCGCAUUUUCGAAGAAUACAUAUAUACCUGUCCGUUUUCGUGUUCUUAUAUCAUUUAUUGGCGAACAUUUGAGAUAUAUAAUAAUUCGAUUCCAGUGCUCAGUACAAUAUCAUUUGGUGUCAAAAAUGGGUAACUCAUAGGCUCGACAAAUAGUCUCGAUUUCAAUUUAGUAAAUCUCCGAUAAAAAGUGAGUUAAUUCAAGCAAACUUACUACAUUACAUAUUUACCAUAUGUUGCUCUUGUUAUAAAGUAUUCUGUUAUGUAAAGUGGACUAAACUGUUCCUAAUAUUUAUAUAUGAUUUCUUACAACAUUUUUCUUGUAAUAAAUGUGUGCUGAGAUGUCGAUAAAUUUCAUGCAUUUUAAAAUCUUACCGUAAUAUUUAAUUUUUUGUAAAUAAUUUUUGAUAACAAGGCGAAAAACUUGAAAGGUAUAUUAAUACAUCUUCGAUCAAAGCUAUAUUUAUGUGAUUUAUACUACAUCCGUCCAAUCUAAUAUAAAAUUUCCUUUUUAUAAACUUCUUUUAAAGCAAUUUUAGUCUAGUACAACUGAUCAAAUUUUAGCCGGACUAACAAUUUCCUGUAUUUUAAUACAAAUCUUUAUUAUCGCCUGCAAAUUAGGCUGCUGAACCAAUACAAGUAUGCCAACGUCUGAACCAAUUUUCCAUACACUUGUUAUGAGCCUCGGCUGGGAUGGCAAUCAGUGCCAACAGAAAAUUUUAUUUUUUUCGGUUUAGGCUAAUUUUUCGAGCGUCAUUUUUGAAUAUCAUCUCUUUUGCGACCUCUGCUAGACGUCGUUUUUGCAAAAGAUUCAGAGCUUUUGGUAUAAGUCUAGCAUUGACCCGCUUCAUACCCAAAACAUUAACCAAAAUGGGUUGAGUCGUUCUAUAAGAAAGGUUGAGAUCAUCUGCUAUCUCUUUAAUGCCAACUCGGCGAUUUUCAAGCACCGUAUCUUUAACUUCGAUGUUAUCGUUAUUGACAGAUGUGAAAGUAUGACUCGCAUGAGACAAGUUUUUGAUGACUACAAGACCUUCUCAUGGAGACCGUUUCCAUGCAUUUCGCUUAUGACCAUAAAUACCACAUAUGUAUGUAUCAUAUAUGCGUAUGCUUGCACUUGACACGAAAAAAUUUUAGAAUACGAUCUUUUUUAUCUCUUUACUUUAGCUUCAUUUAUGUAGGUUUAUUUAUUCGAUUAAUUUGUUGUUAUUUGUAUACUUAUACUAGAAUAUAUUUAGGUAGGUACAUAUAUCUAAAUAUUAUGACAUGCACAUAGAUUUAUGUUAAUUAUGUUAUGUAAUAUAUUUUAGUUAUAAUUUUUACUGCACUUUCUGAUAUAUUUAUAUGUGUAAAUGUAUUAUUGUUAAAUAAAUAAAGGGUGAGUUUAUAUAAUGACUAAUAGCCUUUCACUUAAUUAUAUUGUAUAUGGAAAGAGGUUUAAAUUAUUUGAGGUCAAAAAUUUUUAAGUUAGUGAAAAAUAAAUUUUUUUUUUGUUUUAAACUAAUAAUAUUAGAGGAAUAAUUUCAUUUAAUUUUUUCACUUGGCUUUAAUUCUUAAACUUAAAUAAAAAUUAUUAAAAAAAAUUAUUUAUCAUUAUAAUGCAAAACUAAAAUAAAUAAUUUGCCAGCGCUCAAGUCUACAUAGUAAAUGAAUAAGAGAGUUAAAAAAGGAACGCUUAUGAAUCAAAAAACACAGUUUAAAAAUUUAUUUUUUUGUAUAAAAAAUUUGUAUCGGAAAAUUUACAAUACUUCCUGACUCAAAAACUAAUUAUAAUAUUUUAGUAAAAGUACAAUUUAAAAAAAUUUUAAUAAAAAACGCUCUUGUAUAAGAAAAUUAUUUCGGAAAAAAACAAUUUAAAAAAAAAUUUAUUAUAAACACUCUUGUAUCAGAAAACUUAUUUCUUGUUUCAAAAAUUCAUAUUUGAAUAAAACUACAAUUUCACAUAAUAAAUUUUUGAUUUAAAAAAAGCUCUUUAGUCGAAAUGUUAACUUUUCGAUCGAAAAACUUAAAUAUUUGAUCCCAGAAAUACAGCACUGCAACCUAAAACAACAACAUAUUGUCUAAAAUAAGUCGUCUUUGUCGGAAAAUUUUUAUUUUUUUGAAAAAAUGAUUUUGAACUGAAAAAAAUUUGUAAUGUUAUAGAGUAAAUGUAAGCUUAAGUCAAAAAUCGAGGGAAAUAGAAUUCCGCAAGUCUCAAAACACAAAAGAUAUGUUCGUUUCGCCAAAACUUAGCGAGUGACGUAUCGCAAAAGCAGCUGGCACAAUCAAAGCGAGAAAAGCAGUGAUGAAUCGAAGAUGUUUAAACGCUGCUCUAAAGCAAGUUAGUAAAAAAUAGAGUUUACGACAAUUUCGUCUCCUGACUUUUUUGAAGUGAGCUUGACAGAAAACUAAAUAAGUUUGUGAGGCCAUGAACAAAAGAGCCGGUAAGCUUUAUUUACAAAAGGUUUGAUAGUUCGUUUUGUUUAUGUUUAUGUUAUUGUUAUUAUUUUUAUAAAGCAGUAAACAAUUUUUGGGAAGUUUGUCAAAGUGUUAUAACUGUUAUAUAAAAUUAUUGCAUUAAAAAUUUAAAUCCCGCGGACAAACUAUAAAUGGCAGCGUUUAACACAUAAGUUCAAAACUAACCGCACUUUUGCGACCAAGGGUUAAGUAAAUCUCGAAAAAACGCUAUAAAGGGCUGGACGCUGGAUUUUCUUGUUUUGUAAGUUUGGGUGUGUUUACACAGCAUUGUAUUUAUAAAAGCACUACUUAGAUAUUAUUUAGUUAUCAUAUAGUCAGAUACACAUUAGAUAACAUAUAUAUAUAUAUGUACGAAUAGAGUGGUGUUAGACUAGAAUAAAAUGGACUAGAGUUUAUUUG